CAGCAGCCACGGUAAUACAGAGGGUGCAAGCGUUAAUCGGAAUUACUGGGCGUAAAGCGCGCGUAGGUGGUUUGUUAAGUUGGAUGUGAAAUCCCCGGGCUCAACCUGGGAACUGCAUCCAAAACUGGCAAGCUAGAGUAUGGUAGAGGGUGGUGGAAUUUCCUGUGUAGCGGUGAAAUGCGUAGAUAUAGGAAGGAACACCAGUGGCGAAGGCGACCACCUGGACUGAUACUGACACUGAGGUGCGAAAGCGUGGGGAGCAAACAGGAUUAGAUACCCCCGUAGUCCCUGUCUCUUAUAC
rnacentral:rRNA from 1 species